rnacentral:tRNA from 1 species
GCGGAGAUAGCUCAGUUAGUAGAGCGUAUCAUUUCCAUGGAUAAGGUCGUGGGUGCAAAUCCUGCUCUCCGCU